CCUCUUAUGUUAGUUUGAACUUCGUGCAAAUAUACGUCUUGUUCGAGCGUACGUUCACGAGGCUUUAUCAUUCGCGUCUAGUCGUCGAGUUUCGUACGUACGCGAUUACGUUGCGUGGGAACACCUCCUUGUGUUUAGUAGAUCGCGAUAAAUCAAAUAUUAUACAUAUACAUACAUAUACAUACAUAUAUAUAUAUAUAUAUAUAUAUAUAUAUGCAUUUAUGUGUACAUGCAUCUAUGUAUGCAUAUCUAUCUAUAACUAUAUAAAUUCUAUCCAUUACUUAUUGUAUAUCCACGAUGAUUCAUGAAAUAUCGUGAAUAUAAACAGUGCAUUAAAAAUCUGGUGUACGUUACGUACGUAAUAUUUUUUUUUGUUUUCUUCUUUGGAAAGGAGUAAAAAAGAAACAAGAAAAAAGAAGAAAAGAAAAGAAAAGAAAAGGGAUAAAAUUUGUCAACGAUCAGUGGAACGCUGAAGGAAGGUUGUGGUAAGGGCCGGGGAGGGUGAGGGGAAAAAGAAAAUGUCAUUCGCGCGUUAGAAAGCAUAUUUGUGUGGGACAUUAUGGAGAUACAUUGGAAGAGUUACGAAAAGAAAAUAAUAACCGAAGAAUUUGUUAGAAGAGGAAAGUAUCGAAAGUUCGUAAUAUUAACGGUUAACUUUAAGGAAGAUAAGGAAGAGGAGAAGGAGGAGGCGGAGGAAGAAGAAGAAGAAGAAGAAGAAGACGACGACGACGAAGAAGAAGAAGAAGAAGUAGAAGUAGAAUUAGAAUUAGAAGAAGUUAGAAGGGAACGCGCGUGCGAUUAUUUUCACUCCUCACUGCACGUGUUCGAUCGUUGUUGUUGAAUAGCUCGUGCAUACGCCCGCGCGCUAGUUUCUAUGUAAAUAAAGGUCGCCCACGAGUGGCGCAACCGCGCCCCACUUCUUUCUCUCAUACCGACUACAAACGUUUAAUACGUAUAUACAAAUACAUAGUUAUAUGUAUCCAUGUGUACGUAAGUAAAAUACGUAAGAGAACGAGUUGGAGUCACCUAUAUAGCUCCACUACUAGCUGAUACUCUUCCUCUUUGCUACUAUCGAACUAGUACAAGCGAUAUAUCCGACCAGAGUCGUUCAUCUUUCUUUCUCUCUCUCUCUCUCUAUCUAUCUAUCUCUCUCUCUCUCUCUCUCUCUCUCUCUCUCUCUUUGUUUCUCUCUCUUUUCAUCUCUCUGUCUCCCUCUUUUUCUAUCCAUCUCUCAAUAUAUUUCUCCGUGUGACUCUAAUUAAACGUGAUAUUUCUAAUUUUCUGUUUUUCAUUCGUCGUGAAAUUGUUUCGUCUAAACGCCGUCUCAAUUGCAGUUCCUUUGUCAUACUCGUGUCAUAAGAAUUCGUAAGAAAUCAUCGAAGAAUUUAUAAUACGGCCGAUUAUAGUCACGAAGUUGUUCAAUGUUCAAUGUUUCUCCCUUUUCGUGAACGUUUUUUUAAAUACAUUGGAAGAGAAAGAAAAGAAGAAGAAGAAGAAGAAGAAGAAAAAAAGAAGUAACUCGGAAUAGUAUCGAGAGAAGAAACUAACUAACAAGACGAUAAGUCCAACGGCAAAACGUUUCUCCCUAUUGGUAGCACCGUUAUUCCGACCUUGAAAAGAUACCAGCUCUUCGUAAGAAAUACUGAGAUACAUCGGCAGUGUACUCGUGAUCAUCAAGUUUCUACGCCCGUUCGACGCUGUUUUAUACUCGAAUAUUAAGGAAUUUAACUGUCGAAGAAGAUAACGUCCUCGAUCUCUUCUCUUUUGGAAUUUGCGGAUUUUUUAUAUAUAUAUAUAUAUAUAUAAUCGAGAAUCCGAAUUCGAAGAGGAGGAAAGGUUUCCAUCGAUAAACAGCCAAUAUUACAGAUAUCCUGGUUCCUCGUUUGAGUGAGCUGAAGAGCCGAGGAAGGAACUACGAAACAAGGAAGUAGGAAGAAAAGUUGUUCGUAUUCUCGUAACAAAACUUGACUCAUCGAUUUGAAAGGAUAAAUGAGAUAUGGACAUGGUGUGAAAACCUAAAGGAAAAGUUAUAGCAAGGGCAAAAGAAGAAAAAAGAAAAAAAAAAGGAAAAAAAAAAGAACUGUUCCUUUAUAACAAUAUAUCCUUGCAUUAAGGAUAAAAGGAAUAUGAACGGGACGUUGAGCCCACGACGGCUCGAUCAUGAGUCGGCAUCGUGCUUCAACCGGUGGACGCUCGGGCUCCUACUACGGGCGCCGUUAGAGUGGGGGUAAGUCAGUUGGAGUGGGGUGGUUGUGCGGUUCGCGCCACGGCUAGUUAUGAAUGAGUCGUGGAGUAACGAAGCACGAGU